rnacentral:rRNA from 1 species
UACGUAGGGGGCUAGCGUUGUCCGGAAUCAUUGGGCGUAAAGCGCGUGUAGGCGGCCCGAUAAGUCCGCUGUGAAAGUCCAGGGCUCAACCCUGGGAUGCCGGUGGAUACUGUCGGGCUCGAGUCCGGAAGAGGCGAGUGGAAUUCCUGGUGUAGCGGUGAAACGCGCAGAUAUCAGGAGGAACACCAAUGGCGAAGGCAGCUCGCUGGGACGUGACUGACGCUGAGACGCGAAAGCGUGGGGAGCAAACAGG